ACUGACACCAAGUAUUGAAGAGUGAAGACUGGAGGAAAUUAAUAGCACUCUUAGCAUCUUGGAGAAAAGAAAUUUAACACUUAUUGGUAAAAUAACAGUAAUAAAAACUCUAGCAAUCUCCAAAUUGGUUCAUAUUUUCAAUUCCUUGCAAAGCCCAACCCACC